GUGCCUUUUAAUACAUUUAGGCGAUACUGCCCUCCGAAGGCGGGGGUCACAGGUUCGAAUCCUGUCGGGUGCGCCA
rnacentral:tRNA from 1 species